rnacentral:siRNA from 1 species
GAACCCAACGUAGAUGCACAAC